rnacentral:rRNA from 1 species
UACGAAGGGGGCUAGCGUUGCUCGGAAUUACUGGGCGUAAAGCGCACGUAGGCGGCUUUGUAAGUUAGAGGUGAAAGCCCAGGGCUUAACCCUGGAAUUGCCUUUAAGACUGCAUCGCUUGAAUCCAGGAGAGGUGAGUGGAAUUCCGAGUGUAGAGGUGAAAUUCGUAGAUAUUCGGAAGAACACCAGUGGCGAAGGCGGCUCACUGGACUGGUAUUGACGCUGAGGUGCGAAAGCGUGGGGAGCAAACAGG